rnacentral:rRNA from 1 species
UACGUAGGGGGCAAGCGUUGUCCGGAAUCACUGGGCGUAAAGGGCGCGUAGGCGGCCUGAUAAGUAGGGGGUGAAAUCCUGUGGCUUAACUGCAGGGCUGCCUCCUAGACUGUUAGGCUCGAGCACGGUAGAGGCAGAUGGAAUUCCCGGUGUAGCGGUGGAAUGCGUAGAGAUCGGGAAGAACAUCGGUGGCGAAGGCGGUCUGCUGGGCCGUUGCUGACGCUGAGGCGCGACAGCGUGGGGGAGCAAACAGG